UACGAAGGGGCUAGCGUUGCUCGGAAUUACUGGGCGUAAAGCGCACGUAGGCGGCUUUCUAAGUCGGGGUGAAAUCCUGGAGCUCAACUCCAGAACUGCCUUCGAUACUGGAGAGCUUGAGUCCGGGAGAGGUGAGUGGAACUGCGAGUGUAGAGGUGAAAUUCGUAGAUAUUCGCAAGAACACCAGUGGCGAAGGCGGCUCACUGGCCCGGUACUGACGCUGAGGUGCGAAAGCGUGGGGAGCAAACAGG
rnacentral:rRNA from 1 species